AUUCCUCCAAAAUAAAUUCUAAUUUCAAAACUGGGCCAAGACUUCCUUUUAUUUUCAGCCCAAAGAACUAUUUUAUUUUUGGCCCAAAGAUUACGUCUUUCACCCAUCUUAUAUCCCCAACUAUUAUAACUCAAAAAGAGCCAAGUUCUUGUUCCACAAUUAAAAUAAAAGGAGCCUAUAAUUAAAUUAAUUAGGAAGAGGCCCAUUUUGAAAUACACCCUUCCUCCACAAUCGGUAUUCCCCUCCCUCUCUCUUAUUUAAAUUUCCCCCAAAAUUGGAGAGACAAAUCCCUAAAUUUCGUCGCCUGCCUCCCCAUUCCACCAGAAUCGACACCUCACUCCCCUCCUCUCUCGGCCCUGCUCACGCCACCGCCGCCGCUGCUGCUGUGCGCGGGCUGUUCACCGUCGUGGCCCUCCAUCUAUUUCUCUCUCGGGUUCCACCGCCAUGCACCCCAUCAGCCGCCGCCGCCUUUCCUCCAGCAGUCCGGCCGUCUCCGGACAGCCGGUGAGCCCUCCGCCACUGCACUCUCUCUCUCUCUCUUUCUCGCGCGGCCUGCCUCCUCGCCCGACACCACUACCGUCACCUCGCCAUCCUCCGAUAGAUUUGUAAAGGGGUGAAAUCCGUGAUGGAUUUGGGGUGUGGGCUGCCACGACGGUGUGCCGAAACUCAGUAUCCGGAAUUCCGACAGAUUCGUGUUCUUGAGAUAAGUUGUUAACUUGGGCUUACUAUAGUUGUAGAACUUGGGUUCUCUAUUUUAUGUAUUCUAUGAUUUUGAACAAUUGUCCUGCUACUAAAAGACUUGAUAGACUUGAUGGUGAAGCAUGGUAUUAAACUUGCUGUGUAUUCUUGAUUUCUGAUUUGGGCAGAUUUUAAUUUCUCUUUAGAUAUGCAUAUGCUUGUACGUAUGUGCAAGAAAAGAAAGGUUUGGGAUUUACCUUUGAUGUGGAAUAAAGGUGUGGUUGGAUUGUAGUGUUUGAGUGUGCAAUCUCCCCCCCCCCUCGGAACUCCUCUACCCUUUGUGGGUUGGGGUGUGCAAAAUUAGGAUUUGUGAGGGUGAUGUGUGUGAGUGAUAAGAAUGAUUUGCAGAUAUACAUGUACAUAUACAUAAAAAGAUGCAAGUGGAGCUUAUCUUUCAAAAAUAAUAUGCAAGUGGCGUGUCUUGCAUUCUUCUGUGGCAUUCUUUCUUGUUAAGAUUCAUUAAUACAGCAUUCAUUAUUCUGACAUCUCAUUUAAUGCACCAAAAUCCUUUCAUGAUCGAAACUUAUCUACUCCUUUUCUUUAUGUUUAAUUUGCUUUAUUAUUCUAUUUUUUUAUUUAUUGUUUAAUUUGGUGUAGGAAAGAACCCGGUUCAAGCUCGUGGCUGCCCGCGCUAAAGUACUCGAUUUGCUUAGAAUGUAGGAUGUAAUAAAUGUUGCUGGAUGUAUCGGACAUUAAAAUUGGAUUUUGGGAUCUUAUUUAAAUUUAUUAUAUUCAUAUAGCUGUAAUA